CACGUAGUUAGCCGUGGCUUAUUCCUCAGGUACCGUCUUGGAUCUUCCCUGAGAAAAGAGGUUUACAACCAAGGCCGUCAUCCCUCACGCGGAGUUGCUGCCUCAAGCUUUCGCUCAUUGGGCAAAAUUCCCG
rnacentral:rRNA from 1 species